rnacentral:rRNA from 1 species
AGAGUUUGAUCCUGGCUCAGGACGAACGCUGGCGGCGUGCCUUAUACAUGCAAGUCGAACGAGAAAGUAUUCUUCGGAAUGCGAGUAAAGUGGCGAACGGGUGAGUAACACGUAGGUUACCUGCCUGUGAGUUGGGGAUAACAUGCCUAACGGCGUGCUAAUACCGAAUGUUGCAUUAAGACAUUAGUUUUAAUGUAAAAGAUAUCCUUAGGUUAUCGCUCACAGAUGGGCCUGCGGCUCAUUAGCUAGUUGGUAAGGUAAAGGCUUACCAAGGCGACGAUGGGUAGCCGGCCUGAGAGGGUGGUCGGCCACACUGGGACUGAGAUACGGCCCAGACUCCUACGGGAGGCAGCAGUAAGGAAUAUUGCGCAAUGGUCGCAAGACUGACGCAGCAACGCCGCGUGGAUGAUGACGCUCUAUGGAGUGUAAAGUCCUGUUAGAGGGGAAGAGCGGUACGGAUUUAAAGAUUCGUGCAUGACGGUACCUUCAGAGAAAGCCCCGGCUAACUCCGUGCCAGCAGCCGCGGUAAUACGGGGGGGGCAAGCGUUGUCCGGAAUUACUGGGCGUAAAGGGCGCGUAGGUGGAAUUGUAAGUUAGUGGUGAAAGCCAGCAGCUUAACUGCUGGUCUGCCUUUAAUACUGCAAUUCUUGAGUGCGAAAGAGGGAAGCGGAAUUCUUGGUGUAGCGGUGAAAUGCGUAGAUAUCAAGAAGAACACCGGUAGCGUAGGCGGCUUCCUGGUUCGUAACUGACACUGAGGCGCGAAAGUGUGGGGAGCAAACAGGAUUAGAUACCCUGGUAGUCCACACCGUAAACGAUGGAUACUAGGUGUUGGGUUUAACGACUCAGUGCCGAAGUUAACGCAUUAAGUAUCCCGCCUGGGGAGUACGAUCGCAAGGUUGAAACUCAAAGGAAUUGACGGGGGCCCGCACAAGCGGUGGAGCAUGUGGUUUAAUUCGAUGCAACGCGAAGAACCUUACCGGGGUUUGAAAAGCAGUUGAACACCGUUGAAAGACGGUUUUCCUUCGGGACAACUGUACAGGUGCUGCAUGGCUGUCGUCAGCUCGUGCCGUGAGGUGUUGGGUUAAGUCCCGCAACGAGCGCAACCCUUGUCCUUAGUUGCUAUCAGGUAAUGCUGAGAACUCUAAGGAGACUGCCUCGGAUAACGAGGAGGAAGGUGGGGAUGACGUCAAGUCCUCAUGGCCCUUACAUCCCGGGCUACACACGUGCUACAAUGGCCAGUACAACGGGAAGCGAUACCGUGAGGUGGAGCAAAUCCCUUAAAACUGGUCUCAGUUCGGAUUGUAGUCUGCAACUCGACUACAUGAAGUUGGAAUCGCUAGUAAUCGCGGAUCAGCAUGCCGCGGUGAAUACGUUCCCGGGCCUUGUACACACCGCCCGUCACGCCAUGGGAGUUGGUAGCACCCGAAGUCACUAGGCUAACCUUUCGGGGAGGCAGGUGCCGAAGGUGAGAUCAAUGACUGGGGCGAAGUCGUAACAAGGUA